GCAAUCUAUGAUGACAUUUGCAGUAGGCCCUUCUAUACCAUCUUAAAUGGGCUUCUGUCUCAGUUCUUUCAUUUUCUUUCAUUUUCCUCAGCCAUCAUCCCUGCAUCAUCCCAGCUCUCACAAGCUUCCUUCAACACCAGCCAGGGAGGGGAAACCUGUGAUGCAACCAAUUUCCUACGUCAGUGCCCUCUUACUACCAGCAGACGUUGCUAUCUCCUGCCCUUCAAUAGUGGGUGUGCAGUGUGUCAUUGAGGCAGUGCACGCACACGGCCAUCCGGCGUGGGAGGCUGUCAGAGAGUGUGUGUGGGAAUCUCCUAAUUCAACAGAAGGGUUAAAUCCAGUUCCUUCUUGAAGAAACCAUUUAUCAGGGGGGGGGGGGGGGGGAGU
rnacentral:lncRNA from 1 species